AGCAAUCGAAGCAGUGAACUUAAGCCCCAGUAAACGGCGGCCGUAACUAUAACGGUCCUAAGGUAGCGAAAUUCCUUGUCGGGUAAGUUCCGACCCGCACGAAAGGCGUAACGAUUUGGGCACUGUCCCAACAACAGACUCGGUGAAAUUGUAAUUCCGGUGAAGAUGCCGGAUACCUGCGACAGGACGGAAAGACCCCAUGGAGCUUUACUGUAGCUUGACAUUGGGUCUUGGUACUACAUGUACAGGAUAGGUGGGAGGCUUUGAAACCAGGACGCCAGUUUUUGCAGCCAUCCUUGGGAUACCACCCUU
rnacentral:rRNA from 1 species